rnacentral:rRNA from 1 species
CCUACGGGAGGCAGCAGUGAGGAAUAUUGGUCAAUGGACGCGAGUCUGAACCAGCCAAGUCGCGUGAAGGAUGACUGCCCUCUGGGUUGUAAACUUCUUUUAUAUGGGAAUAAACUGUUCCACGUGUGGGCUUUUGUAUGUACCAUAUGAAUAAGGAUAGGCUAACCCCGUGCCAGCAGCCGCGGUAAUACGGAGGAUCCGAGCGUUAUCCGGAUUUAUUGGGUGUAAAGGGAGCGUAGGUGGAGUGUUAAGUCAGUUGUGAAAGUUUGCGGCUCAACCGUAAAAUUGCAGUUGAAACUGGCAGUCUUGAGUACAGUAGAGGUGGGCGGAAUUCGUGGUGUAGCGGUGAAAUGCUUAGAUAUCACGAAGAACACCGAUGGCGAAGGCAGCUCACUGGACUGCAACUGACACUGAGGCUCGAAAGUGUGGGUAGCAAACAGGAUUAGAUACCCCUGUAGUC